CUCUCACUCAGCAUCUGGCUGACUUGUUUAAUUAUUUUGGGUUUUUUUUUUUUCUCAGGUCCAGAGAGAGAGAGGAAGCGCACCAAAGAGCAGCACAGGAGGGGAGCAGAGCGCCGUAAGGAGGUGGGUUGGUCAUUUGAGGUGCUGCAAGUGAGGACAGCUGCAGGGUCCAUCUGUGGACCGAGCAGCUGAUGAAGAGGCACCGGGCGACUGCAGGAACAUCCCAGUUAGCCAAUGCGCGGCGUUGAUGUUUUUGUUGCCAAUGGAUUCGGAUCCCCGGCCCUCGGAAAGCUAAAUCCAGACUGGCUAGGUGCCCACCGAAGAGCGGCAGAGGAGGAGAGCAGAGCGCAGUAAGAAGGUGGUGGUAAGGCCUCGGCACGGCAGGCCGAAGAAUCCGACUCCGAGCGGCCGAGGAAAAGGGACGGGUGAGAGGAAGGCGUUUCCAAGGAGGGCUUCGUUGCAGCGGAGGUCGACGCCGGGCGGCACGUCGGUGACCGGCGAUGCUCUGUCUCGUGAGGGAUGAAGCGGAACCCGGCGGAUGGGGGAGCGUCCCGGUUAGAUGACCUUUUCCCCAUGAGAAGGGAAUCUGGAUUCUGCCCUCUGAAAGCCCCGACCAACUGCACAACAAGCCUUGUUAAGGGCCAAUCGGCACACAAUACCUGACUUAGUCCCACCUCGCCAAAAGUAUAAAUCUGGCAUUUAGAAUCCUCUUUUUUGAGGACGAGAACUCCAACUAUCCGGACGGCUCGACGGGCCUGGACCUCUCUCUCUCUCCUCCCCAAGCAGGGACGCCUCUUUGGUGCCACGGCACGAUUUGGAUUCCCGCACAACACCCUCGAGUGAGGUUUUUGUGGAGUAUCCAAGUAACUGCGAAGGAGCGGUGCAGUUAGCAAGGCAUCUUCCCUGGUCCCGGCCUAUGAGCGCUAACUCCACAGAGUCAGGCGCAGCGGCGAUGGUGUCUUAAGGGACAGGGCAGGGAAUUAGAGUAGCUAUCCAGGUGUCCGCAAGCUGCAUGUGUUUGGCCGGGGGGUUGAAGCGGAGGAUCUAGAUUCCAUUGUAGUAGAGAGCUCUGGAAUGAGAAGAAUGUUAAGCGAAGCAGGAGAGAUGGACUGUCAAUGGGCCAGCGAUAAUAACUGUCAUUGCUCUGAGUCCUUGCUGUGGUGAUAGAGCGUCACUGGA